rnacentral:rRNA from 1 species
UACGGAGGGUGCAAGCGUUAUCCGGAUUCACUGGGUUUAAAGGGUGCGUAGGUGGCGCCGUAAGUCAGGUGUGAAAUCUCGGGGCUUAACUCCGAAACUGCAUUGGAUACUAUCCGGCUCGAGGAAUGGAGGGGAGACUGGAAUACUUGGUGUAGCAGUGAAAUGCGUAGAUAUCAAGUGGAACACCAGUGGCGAAGGCGAGUCUCUGGACAUUUCCUGACGCUGAGGCACGAAAGCCAGGGGAGCAAACGGG